rnacentral:misc_RNA from 1 species
GACGGAGGGUGCUAGCGUUGUUCGGAAUCACUGGGCAUAAAGGGCGCGUAGGCGGCCCGUCGUGUCGGCGCGUGAAAGCCCGGGGCUCAACCCCGGAGGUGCGGCCGAAACUGAUGGGCUGGAGGCCGGAAGAGGAGGGUGGAAUACCCAGUGUAGAGGUGAAAUUCGUAGAUAUUGGGUGGAACACCGGUGGCGAAAGCGGCUCUCUGGUCCGGACCUGACGCUGAGGCGCGAAAGCGUGGGGAGCAAACAGG